rnacentral:lncRNA from 1 species
CAGUGGUGCAAUCUCGGCUCACUGUAGCCUCUGCCUCCCGGGUUCAAGAGAUUCUCAUGCCCCAGCCUCCCUAUUAGCUAGGAUUACAGGCGCCCUCCACCACACCCAGCUAUUUCCAGGUACAUUCUUGACGCUAGGGAUUCAGCAAAGAACAAGACAGUUAAGGUCUCUGAUGCUCACAGGGCUCACAUUUUAGAGAGGGAUUAAUGUCCAAUAAGUAAAUAAAUGUAUAAUAUGUCAGGGUCAUAUGACUAUAAGGAACAGCGAUUGUUACAACCCAGAUGAGAAGGAAAAAUAAAGGAUUCCAAAUACCCCACCCUGGGAAGUAGAGUCAGGAUUCAAACGAAGAACUGUAGGGCUUCAAGUUCAUGGUCUUUAGUCUUCUGGAGGCUGCCUCUCUUUGAAGAGCUUGUGCAUAAGGCAUAACUUGCAGUUACUGGUAUCCUCCCUUGAGCCACAAGGUCCAUUCAUUCAUUAUUCAUUAUGGAGCCAUUUAUUGAGCACCUACUAUUUGUCAAGCCCUGUUCUGGAUGCUGAGGACAUAACAAUGAUCUGGACAGGCAUGAUUUACAGACUGGCAGGGAGAAGUGGUUUUAAACAAGUGCACAGGAUUCGUUACACUUGCCAUGAGAGCUACAGAUAUGUAGCACAUGUUAUGAACUAGCCUGGGAAAAGCUCUAAGCCUGGUCUCCCAGAAGAAGUGACAUUUAACUUGAGGCCUAAAGCUUCUCAGGCAAAGAGGGAAGUGAUUUCAAGGCUGAGGGAACAGCACGUGCAAAGGCUUGGAGAGGUAAAAGGAGGCUGGCACGCUUGAGAAACUGAGAGACCAGCAUGGCCACAGCUCGGAGAUGGAGGGAAAGCAGGGCGUGGCAUAAGACAAGGCCAGGGAGGCUCACAGAGGUCAGACCAGCAGACCUCCCCAGCCAUGUUAGGAACAAAUUGAGGGUGAGCCACGGUGCCUGGUGCCCAUAAUCUCAGUAUUUUGGGAGGUGAAGCAGGAGGAUCGCUUGAGCCCAGGAGUUCAAAGCUGCAGGGAGCAAUGGUCGCGCCACUGCAUUCCAGCCUGGGCAACACAGUGAGACCCUGUCUCUAAAA